rnacentral:rRNA from 1 species
ACCCGCUGAACUUAAGCAUAUCAAUAAGCGGAGGAAAAGAAACUAACAAGGAUUCCCCUAGUAACGGCGAGUGAAGCGGGAUGAGCUCAAAUUUAAAAUCUGGCUGGUUUACCAGUCCGAGUUGUAGUUUAAAGAAGCGUUUUCGGUGGCAGUCUCGGUAUAAAUCCUUUGGAAUAGGGUAUCAUAGAGGGUGAGAAUCCCGUCUUUGACUGAGAAUAUGCUACUAUGUGAUACGUUUUCAAAGAGUCGAGUUGUUUGGGAAUGCAGCUCAAAAUGGGUGGUAAAUUUCAUCUAAAGCUAAAUAUUGGCGAGAGACCGAUAGCGAACAAGUACCGUGAGGGAAAGAUGAAAAGAACUUUGAAAAGAGAGUUAAACAGUGCGUGAAAUUGUUGAAAGGGAAACGCUUGAAACCAGUCAUGCGGUUGGGAAAUCAGUCUCUGACAGGGGGGAAUGGGGGAGUUGUGGACCGCAAGGCCGCUCUUCUUCAUAUCUCUUUUGGCAGGGAUGCACUUUUUCUUCUGCAGGUCAACAUCAGUUUGCUUUGCCGGACAAAACUUGGGGGAAGGUGACAGCUUUGGCUGUGUUAUAGCCCUCGAGCGAUACGGUGGAGCGGACUGAGGUUUUCGCAGCAUGUGCUCUCGGGCAAGGCUGAUUGGGUGCUAUGAGAUCGUUCAGGGUACAAUACAUGUAUUUUGCUCUGUGUCUUUCUUAUACUCGCUCAACUCGGCUCUUCCAUGCUUAGGAUGUUGACAUAAUGGUUUUAAUCGACCCGUCUUGAAACACGG